GAUGAACGCUAGCGGCAGGCUUAAUACAUGCAAGUCGUGGGGCAGCAGGACGCUAGCAAUACGGUUGCUGGCGACCGGCAAACGGGUGCGGAACACGUACGCAACUUACCCUGAACUGGGGGAUAGCCCGGGGAAACCCGGAUAACUACUCCGUAAUAUAAUGGCGUGGUGUCACUUUGUUAUUAACGCCCGGGCGGGUCGGGCUGGGGGUGGGGCUGCUUAGUGAGUUGGUUGUGGUAACGGCUCGCCAAGUCUACGAUCAGUAACUAGUGUGAGAGCACGACCAGUCACAGGGGGACCGGGACACGGGCGCGAGUGCUACGGGAGGGAGCAGUAAGGAAUAUUGGGCAAUGGAGGCAACUCUGACCCAGGCAUGCCGCGUGGAGGAACAAGGCGCUCGGGAUUGUAAACUUCUGUUAUAGGGCACGAAACGUGUGUAUUCUUACGCAGGUGACGGUACCCUAGGAAUAAGCACCGGCUAACUCCGUG
rnacentral:rRNA from 1 species